rnacentral:rRNA from 1 species
UACGUAGGGAGCAAGCGUUGUCCGGAUUCACUGGGUGUAAAGGGUGCGUAGGCGGGAGAAUAAGUCAGCGGUGAAAUCUUACGGCUCAACCGUGAAACUGCCGUUGAUACUGUUUUUCUUGAGUUCGGGAGAGGUUGAUGGAAUUCCAGGUGUAGCGGUGAAAUGCGUAGAUAUCUGGAGGAACACCGGUGGCGAAGGCGGCAUCCUGGACCAACACUGACACUGAGGAGCGAAAGCCAGGGGAGCAAACGGG